rnacentral:rRNA from 1 species
UCUUGGUCCCAAUUAGAGGAAGUAAAAGUCGUAACAAGGUCUCCGUUGGUGAACCAGCGGAGGGAUCAUUACUGAGUUUACGCUCUACAACCCUUUGUGAACAUACCUAUAACUGUUGCUUCGGCGGGUAGGGUCUCCGUGACCCUCCCGGCCUCCCGCCCCCGGGCGGGUCGGCGCCCGCCGGAGGAUAACCAAACUCUGAUUUAACGACGUUUCUUCUGAGUGGUACAAGCAAAUAAUCAAAACUUUUAACAACGGAUCUCUUGGUUCUGGCAUCGAUGAAGAACGCAGCGAAAUGCGAUAAGUAAUGUGAAUUGCAGAAUUCAGUGAAUCAUCGAAUCUUUGAACGCACAUUGCGCCCGCCAGCAUUCUGGCGGGCAUGCCUGUUCGAGCGUCAUUUCAACCCUCAAGCUCUGCUUGGUGUUGGGGCCCUACAGCUGAUGUAGGCCCUCAAAGGUAGUGGCGGACCCUCCCGGAGCCUCCUUUGCGUAGUAACUUUACGUCUCGCACUGGGAUCCGGAGGGACUCUUGCCGUAAAACCCCCAAUUUUCCAAAGGUUGACCUCGGAUCAGGUAGGAAUACCCGCUGAACUUAAGCAUAUCAAAACCGGGAGGAA